GGUUUUCGGCGAAUAUUGCCGGGAUUAAUUUUGUUGGUUGUGUACUUUUGUGUCGUUGACUGCCAAAAUGAAGUCUGACGAAGGGAAGUUCGCGUUCGUAAGUACGGUUACCAGUGGGCUUAGUUAGUCGGUGUGUUAGAGAGUCGUGCAGUACAAUCCGGUGGGGACGUAUGGAAUAAUCGUUUAAGAGUGCAUCGCGCUAAGUUCAUUGGGCUGUAUUUUACGAAAUCCUACCUGCUUUCUGGUGGUGUUUUCAUAAAUGAUCGAAGAUUUUUAGGUUAUGGGGAUGUUUGGUAGUUGGUUUUCUAUAGGUGAUGUUGGUUGGCCUGAUUAAUUGUCGCAGUUUCUGCAAAUUUAGUUCCAAGAAUUGUAUAAACAGGGAAGAUGUCGCUGCUGAAUCCGCGUGACGUGUUGAGUGCCUGCAUGCCAACAUGACGUAUGACGAGGAGAAGUGUCGUAUCCGAAAGUACGGUUACCAGUGGACGCUUUCACUCGGUCUGUUGUGUUAUAGAUAGUCGUGUAGGCGUGCCUGCAAGCAUAUAGGAUACUUUAGCCGUUACGCAGUUUCGAGUCCAUCAUUACUACAGAGGUAGCAAGACUUUGCACCGGGAGCUGACAUGAUGGACACAAUUCAUCAGGCGAUGCGGUUGGGAUGACCCACAGACACGUAGUGGCAGCCUCAGUUUUUGUGACUUGCUUGAGGAAAUGCAGUAGGUUUUUAUUUAAAUUUGUGUAAGAGCUUAUCGCAGCGGACAAGAUAGAAGUAAGUAGCUAGAGUUACAGGUUGCAAUGUUGGUUAUGUGGCCACCACAACACAGGUGCACACCUUAGAUUCGUUGUGACAAAGUAUCGGGUGUUCGUAGCAUGCCUCACAAAUCUACAAGGAAGACCUCGGGCCCUCGUGCGAUUUCCUUGCUUUCCGAGGAGGCGUACGGUCAUAGAUUUAGUGGGAGUGCCUUGUCUGUCUCAAAGAGUAGUUUGAGAUCAGGGGAUGUGCUGAGUGGCAACUUUCUUGUGAACUGUAUGUGUAGUUUGUGGGCCGGUAUCACGGUGUCACGCGAAGACAUGGCAGACCAAUUUGUCUGAAUAUCAGUGUUUCAGAAGAUCAGUUGUGUUGGCGAUAGGGAACCAGCUUGUUUGGAGUUGGAGGUGUGAAGAACCAGAAAGAAUGAAGCACCUGGAGCGUUUGUGACUUGGAUAAGGAAGUGCAGUAUUCGGGACACCGGCCGUGCAGUCAUCAUGACCGCUACCUCCUUCAGAUCCCUUUUGUGUAUUCUGUUUGACAAGGCUGGGGUGAAGUACCAGAACGAUAUUGGCCGCGGUUAGGUGGCCUCAUACAGCAGGAGUACACCAACACUAGACAGACUGACAUCCGAAAGAAGACCACUUGUGUCCCCGAUGGUUGGCCGUCCUGUUGCUCAGUGCGUACAUGGAGAAGAGGACUGAAUGCAGCAUGUAAAUUUUGUGUGCCUCUGGAGACGUGGUGCAGUAGGCUGUUAUUUAACCCAUUCGCAGGGGCUUGCUCUGUUGUGAUAAUUGUGUUUCAGGUGUGAUACCAACUUAGUAUGUCAAUCAUGUGAAAUGCGUGUGUGUGUCCGUGUAAGGUGUGGAUGUCUAGUUAUGUGUGUAGGGUGUUCUAUAGAGGGUGAGAAAAAUAAUAAAAAUGUCGGCCGCAUUCACAUUGCGUUAAUAAGGCACUGCUUCAUAGUGUGGUGGCUAACACAUGUUGGAAUGAGAGAGUUUGUCAUGUGUGUGUAAGGCUUUAAGUUGCAGGUACUCUUGGCUUUGGCCGCAGCUUGUCACCAGAGAUGUGAUUCCUCUUCCUGGAAAGAAUGUGGUUUUCCCUUUAAUCAGCUUCAUUCCAUUUCACAUUCUCGGUUGAAGCUAAUGCCACAGCAAGAACUUCCAAACCUCGGUCAUUCUGCAUCUGUUCCACAGCGGAUAGUGUGUGCUCUGCAGUUUCACUCGUUUAGCAAGCGUGGUGGGUUGACUUGAGGUGCUUACUCAGAUGUUGAUGGUAACUUGUAGGCAUGCAGUUGCUAGCGCCCACCGAGAACCUGUUCAGUGAUGAAGAACUCUGGCAUAGCUAUACCGGACAGUUUUGAUAAUCAUGGAUGUCCGUUCUCUGACCCAAGAAGACUUUAAAAAUGUGCUGACGGCGCAUUACUUAGUUUGCUUUUUCUCUAUGGAAAUCGGUAAAAAAAAAAAGAUUUCAAAGCAGGAGGUAAUGGGAAUAUUUAGUGAUCAUCACCGAGAGGGAGUUUCCAAACAGUACUUAUCGGGGGAUGCACAUUAGGAGUUGUCCCAUGAUUGAAACUUGUUGACUUGCCAGUGAAGUGAUUGCUCUAUAUAAGACAGGACACCGGCCGUGCAGUCAUCAUGACCGCUACCUCCUUCAGAUCCCUUUUGUGUAUUCUGUUUGACAAGGCUGGGGUGAAGUACCAGAACGAUAUUGGCCGCGGUUAGGUGGCCUCAUACAGCAGGAGUACACCAACACUAGACAGACUGACAUCCGAAAGAAGACCACUUGUGUCCCCGAUGGUUGGCCGUCCUGUUGCUCAGUGCGUACAUGGAGAAGAGGACUGAAUGCAGCAUGUAAAUUUUGUGUGCCUCUGGAGACGUGGUGCAGUAGGCUGUUAUUUAACCCAUUCGCAGGGGCUUGCUCUGUUGUGAUAAUUGUGUUUCAGGUGUGAUACCAACUUAGUAUGUCAAUCAUGUGAAAUGCGUGUGUGUGUCCGUGUAAGGUGUGGAUGUCUAGUUAUGUGUGUAGGGUGUUCUAUAGAGGGUGAGAAAAAUAAUAAAAAUGUCGGCCGCAUUCACAUUGCGUUAAUAAGGCACUGCUUCAUAGUGUGGUGGCUAACACAUGUUGGAAUGAGAGAGUUUGUCAUGUGUGUGUAAGGCUUUAAGUUGCAGGUACUCUUGGCUUUGGCCGCAGCUUGUCACCAGAGAUGUGAUUCCUCUUCCUGGAAAGAAUGUGGUUUUCCCUUUAAUCAGCUUCAUUCCAUUUCACAUUCUCGGUUGAAGCUAAUGCCACAGCAAGAACUUCCAAACCUCGGUCAUUCUGCAUCUGUUCCACAGCGGAUAGUGUGUGCUCUGCAGUUUCACUCGUUUAGCAAGCGUGGUGGGUUGACUUGAGGUGCUUACUCAGAUGUUGAUGGUAACUUGUAGGCAUGCAGUUGCUAGCGCCCACCGAGAACCUGUUCAGUGAUGAAGAACUCUGGCAUAGCUAUACCGGACAGUUUUGAUAAUCAUGGAUGUCCGUUCUCUGACCCAAGAAGACUUUAAAAAUGUGCUGACGGCGCAUUACUUAGUUUGCUUUUUCUCUAUGGAAAUCGGUAAAAAAAAAAAGAUUUCAAAGCAGGAGGUAAUGGGAAUAUUUAGUGAUCAUCACCGAGAGGGAGUUUCCAAACAGUACUUAUCGGGGGAUGCACAUUAGGAGUUGUCCCAUGAUUGAAACUUGUUGACUUGCCAGUGAAGUGAUUGCUCUAUAUAAGACAGGUAGGCGUGCCUGCAAGCAUAUAGGAUACUUUAGCCGUUACGCAGUUUCGAGUCCAUCAUUACUACAGAGGUAGCAAGACUUUGCACCGGGAGCUGACAUGAUGGACACAAUUCAUCAGGCGAUGCGGUUGGGAUGACCCACAGACACGUAGUGGCAGCCUCAGUUUUUGUGACUUGCUUGAGGAAAUGCAGUAGGUUUUUAUUUAAAUUUGUGUAAGAGCUUAUCGCAGCGGACAAGAUAGAAGUAAGUAGCUAGAGUUACAGGUUGCAAUGUUGGUUAUGUGGCCACCACAACACAGGUGCACACCUUAGAUUCGUUGUGACAAAGUAUCGGGUGUUCGUAGCAUGCCUCACAAAUCUACAAGGAAGACCUCGGGCCCUCGUGCGAUUUCCUUGCUUUCCGAGGAGGCGUACGGUCAUAGAUUUAGUGGGAGUGCCUUGUCUGUCUCAAAGAGUAGUUUGAGAUCAGGGGAUGUGCUGAGUGGCAACUUUCUUGUGAACUGUAUGUGUAGUUUGUGGGCCGGUAUCACGGUGUCACGCGAAGACAUGGCAGACCAAUUUGUCUGAAUAUCAGUGUUUCAGAAGAUCAGUUGUGUUGGCGAUAGGGAACCAGCUUGUUUGGAGUUGGAGGUGUGAAGAACCAGAAAGAAUGAAGCACCUGGAGCGUUUGUGACUUGGAUAAGGAAGUGCAGUAUUCGGGACACCGGCCGUGCAGUCAUCAUGACCGCUACCUCCUUCAGAUCCCUUUUGUGUAUUCUG